rnacentral:rRNA from 1 species
AUUGAACGCUGGCGGCAGGCUUAACACAUGCAAGUCGAGCGGAGAGAGGUAGCUUGCUACUGAUCUUAGCGGCGGACGGGUGAGUAAUGCUUAGGAAUCUGCCUAUUAGUGGGGGACAACACGUCGAAAGGAAUGCUAAUACCGCAUACGUCCUACGGGAGAAAGCAGGGGAUCUUCGGACCUUGCGCUAAUAGAUGAGCCUAAGUCGGAUUAGCUAGUUGGUGGGGUAAAGGCCUACCAAGGCGACGAUCUGUAGCGGGUCUGAGAGGAUGCUCCGCCACACUGGGACUGAGACACGGCCCAGACUCCUACGGGAGGCAGCAGUGGGGAAUAUUGGACAAUGGGCGGAAGCCUGAUCCAGCCAUGCCGCGUGUGUGAAGAAGGCCUUAUGGUUGUAAAGCACUUUAAGCGAGGAGGAGGCUACUUUAGUUAAUACCUAGAGAUAGUGGACGUUACUCGCAGAAUAAGCACCGGCUAACUCUGUGCCAGCAGCCGCCGUAACAC